rnacentral:rRNA from 1 species
CCUACGGGAGGCAGCAGUGAGGAAUAUUGGUCAAUGGACGAGAGUCUGAACCAGCCAAGUAGCGUGAAGGAUGACUGCCCUAUGGGUUGUAAACUUCUUUUAUAUGGGAAUAAAAUAGGGUAUGCAUACCCUCUUGUAUGUACCAUAUGAAUACGGAUCGGCUAACUCCGUGCAAGCAGCCGCGGUAAUACGGUGGAUCCGAGCGUUAUCCGGAUUUAUUGGGUUUAAAGGGAGCGUAGGUGGAUUGUUAAGUCAGUUGUGAAAGUUUGCGGCUCAACCGUAAAAUUGCAGUUGAAACUGGCAGUAUUGAGUACUGUAGAGGUGGGCGGAAUUCGUGGUGUAGCGGUGAAAUGCUUAGAUAUCACGAAGAACUCCGAUUGCGAAGGCAGCUUACUAAACUGUGACUGACAUUGAUGCUCGAAAGUGUGGGGAUCAAACAGGAUUAGAUACCCCAGUAGUC